GGAUGAACUCUAAGUAUAUAUGUUAGAGCUCGAGUAAACUUGACAUCAUUUGACUGAAUUCUAAGUAUAUGACUUAGAACUCUGUCGAUUUAGAGAUGUUUUGCCUUAGUUAUAUGUGCUAAGGCGAUUGAUUUAACCCUAAGUAUAUGUAUUAGGGGUAGUCGAUAUUUAAUCUUCUACUCUAGGUAUAUGUGCCAGAGUAGAAAAAGAUUCAUGAUGAAUUUGGAUUUAGUUUAACGACUUUACGGUCGUUUGAAUUUGGAUUUAGUUUAAUGAUGUUUCGGUCGUUUGAAUUUGAAAUUAGUUUAACGACUUUACGGUCGUAUGAAUUUGGAUUUAGUUUAACGACUUUAUGGUCGUUUGAUCUUAGGUUUAGUUUAACGACUUUACAGUCGUUUAGAUUUGAGAGGCUUUGGAUUUCAGGGUUUUAUUUGUGGACUUUAGGUUUUGGGCUUUAUUUAUGGGCUUUAGGUUUUGGGAUUUUAUUUGUGGACUUUAGGUUUUGGGAUUUUAUUUGUGGACUUUAGGUUUUGAGAUUUAUUUGUGGACUUUGAUUUUGGGUUGGCUUGAACCUCUCGUAUUUGAUUUGGGAUGAA
rnacentral:lncRNA from 1 species